CCGGUUCCGGUUCACGGCUUCGAUUCGCGAAGCCGACCCGGCGACC
rfam:Rhodococcus sp. RD6.2 genome assembly, contig: RHCRD62_Contig_1